rnacentral:rRNA from 1 species
AUGUUGCGGAUGGCCUCGAAAUAUCUCAAGGAUGGCGGCAAGCUCUCCCACGUUGACGCCGACCAUCUUGCUGAAGGUUUGUUCUAUUCCAUUAGUGAGUGCUCGGAACAAACCGAGCACCCGGAAACAAGCAUCAAGGUGAUGAACAAGUUGACCUACACGAGGAUGGAACAACAAGUAAACAAAUUCUGGGAUCAGCAUGCUAGAGUUGUCGGAACAGCGAGAUCUAUGAUCGACGUAUACAACCGGCGGCAACUUGGGGUACCCAAAUAUGAGUUGCAUGUCAUCUGCGGUGUCAAUGCGCAUGUGGACGGCCCUGUGUACACGGCUCCUUUCACCGGCACAUAUCGUUACUCCCACAUCAACUUCCUCGCCACCCCGUCUGCUGAUGCACCUCCAACGCUCUUCUUUGCCGAAUACAGCAAUGACGACGGCAGCUCUCAGGACAUGGGCUGGUGCUGCCCAGUGGCUGUGCCAUCUCCAGGGACAGAACAAGUCCGUUGCCUCUACUGUGAGUACGACGGGAGCAGGAUCGUGCAUCCGGUACAGGGGGGCUUCCAUGGGCGUGGCAGAGAUUUCGAGAAGAUGUGGGGCGGAGAAGAGCUGUAUUCAGAAUGGCACACCAACGAUUCCAUCAUCAAGCGUGGCCGUGAGGCGGCUUACUGGGUGGAUUAUCUAGAGGACGACUGCAUCUACAACACCUACCGUCUCGAUGAUAAACGUAUAGGGCCAAAGGUUGUCAUACAUAAGGAGCGUUCCGAUGGCUUCAGGGCGACGAUGUCGAAGAAGGGGCUUGCGUUCACCAAGGACAUGGAGGAUGCUGUCAAAGAGCAUAUGCUAUCGCUGCCAAAGACGGGGCUUAUUGGUGAUGAAGGGAUGAUGAUGGAUUUAAUAGAGGAUGAUGGUUUGGCCUGCUAA